ensembl:lncRNA
CAAAAAGUAUCAGAGCAGUUCAGAGAAGGAGAGGUCCCAGAGAGGGCAUCCAGGAAGCUCUUGAAGAGGAGGGUCUGACCCUCGGACCAGAGAGGGCAGAGUCGCAAAGUCCUCAAGAAUUGGGGCAGGGGUUGACCAGUCAUGGCUCAAGGUUAAAUGCAGUCUCUUCCUGUUUCUGCAAACAGGUUCUGCUGGAUCGCAGCAACAGCCAUGGGUGAAUGAGCCACCUUGGCUGCUCCUGUGCUGCACAGACAGAACCGAGGGGCUACCAUAGGGGCAGCGAGGCCUGCAAAGCCUGAAACAGUUACACCUUGGUCCUUUGUAGUGAAAGCUGGCUGAUCCCUGCUCUAGUGCUCAGGGCUUCCCUAAGGAGUGAUUUGAGGGAUUCCAGUGCAGUGAGACUGCUUCACAAAACAUCAUAGCCUCCCUAACGGGCUUGGGAGACAUGCCUAACAUUCCCACCUUCAGAGGCGUUUAUGAUGUUCCUUCGGAGGUGGAAGGCUCUGAGAAAUCUGCAUAGCUUAAGGCGUUUGCUGUUUACCUUAGCAUUCCCCAAACUAGUUAGAUCUAUCAAACCUGCUUUGCCCAUGAACACCCCUUAACAUCCUGAGAGGCUGGUGUUCCGUGGACGCCUCUGGUAAACAGCGGUUGGGUGGAGCUAACGGCCGAGUUCUUAGCCCAGCCCUGUCAAUAAGCUAAGUGGCCUUGGCUGAAUUGCAUGCCCACCGGGGCCUGCUCACCUUCCUGUUGGCACGGGAUAAGGAAGUCUGUCCUGCCUGGUCUGAGGGUUUUCCAGAGUCCUUGACAGCAUCUGGCAAGGGAAAAGAACAGAUGCGAUUCUGGAAAAGACAGUGAGGUCAAGGAUGGAGAGAAAGCUCCCUAGCAGACAUGAGGUGAUCUCUUCCAGUGUUCAGCAUUUGAGGCAUCCUGUCUCCUUUGGCUAUGAGGUCAAGAUGGUCACAUCUGCUUCUCCAGGUGGAGCUCCAACUCCAUUAGCUUCUCCCCAGAGCCGCCUUUGCCACAGGAGCAGAGCCACAAACAGAAACGGAGCCAGCAUGGCGGAGACUGGAGCCAGGGCCCAUGAGCCGCUUUCAUCUUCUGGAAAAGCACUGGAAGGAGCCAGGGCCGGAUGGGAAGAACACAGGAGAGGGAGGUUGGAGAUGGACAGGCUGAAGACCACUGCCCCCCAGCCCUCGCUUGUUUCACAGAUGCUGUCUCUCUGCGGGUGGUGUCCAAGGUCCAUGGACCUGCAGCCGGGGUUGCUCCUUCAGCGGAGACCAGCGCUUGUUGCUUAGAGACCAUAGUUGCUUCUGAGUCUGGGUAGAUCCUGAAGUCCAUCUAUCGGCUGCUGGCGAUGCCGUCCUGAAGGAUGCUGUGAGGAAUGCGUCAGCAGCUGCAGGGGCUGUAGGGAUGGUGCUGGAAGAACCUGUGGGAAUGCCAGAGGAGAGCACAGGGAGAGGCUACCCAGGCUGCCCAGUGGAUUUAGCAAAGGGCACUGGGUUUAAAAUGUUUGUUAAACAGGCCGCACCCUCACUAAGAGGUGCAGUGUUUGGCCGAUAUGUUGGGAUACAACAGCAAGGUAAGGAUCCUGGAUAUAUUCAGAAUUAUUCUCUCGUCUCCUAUAUUUUCCCAUCUCAUGGAUAUAUAUAGAUAUUCUCUCAUCUCAUGCAAAUACUGAUAUCUUAUACUCCUAUGGCCUUCUCCCAGGCCCACGUAGUCUCCAUCCCGCUGCCCCAGGUCCCCGUGCGUCUGCUUUCUCCAGAGGCCUCAGCCUAUCAGGGUCUCCUCUUGAGAGAAAGGAAGAGAAGCACUGCAGUUCCCAAACAGCAGCCAGCAGUGGCAGCAGGGACAGAAGCAUCCAAUAAAGCCCAACUGCUCUCCUAGCUGGCGGUCCUGAUGGACUGUGGCUUCCAAAGCCUGGUGUCCCUGCUUGUACUCUGGGUGCCUGCUCUGGACCAACCCUCCAGAACCUGUCCCCAGGGCCUGGGCCUAGGGGCUGCCUGCUGUCUGCAGAGGGGCCGAGGAAGGGUCUGUCAGGGAAGAGGUUGUCCCGGCUCUUUUCUGUCUGUCAGGCUGCUCUGCAGUGCUACCCCUGAUCUGUAUGCCACAAUAUGUUGCCCUCAGGACCCUAAGAUGCCAUAUGAUCCAAUUUACUACCUUCCUGGAACAAUCUCCAAAUAUAUAUUCCACAACAUCCAGGGUAUGGCCAUUCGGGUGGAGUGUCAACUUGAUUGGCUUUGGAAUCUUCCCAGGGAUCAGUGGAGCUCACAUCUGGGUGUGUCUGGGUGAUCAUGGAGGUGCGAUCUUGGAGUCUGAGUCUGGUCCCUCAUCCCUUCCUCUCUGGCACUGCUUCCCUGCUCUGCUUCCCAGUCACCACGAGCUAAGCAUUUUGGCCCUGCCGUGCCCUUCUGCCUUGAUGUUUCUGCCUUGGAGCUGGCUUGCCAUGGACUGAAUCCUCAGAAAUCAUGAGCCAAAUUAAACCUCUCCUCCUUUACGUUGUGAGUGCCAAGUAUUGUGCGCCAGCAACAGGAAGCUGACUGAUUAGCCGGUGUUGGGAGAGUUGGGUGGGGGAAUUUGGGUGCACUCAGUUGUUUUUUCCUAAUACCUCCCUUCUUUCUGGAAAUUGCCUCCCAUGAGGAAAGGCUGCCUCUUAGAGCCAUUGCCCUGGCCCAGCCUUUCAGCUCACUCCUCCAAGGCCUAAAGCUUUCCUGGCCCUGCAAACUUUCUCUUGCCACCACUGCUUCCUAGCUUGAGCUUCUCCAAGCACAGCCCAUUGGCCAUCAGCUCUCACCUGCAGAGACAGUCAGAUUCACGCUGGAGAACAGCCUGUUGUUGCUGUCCCCAAUGCCGCAGCGGUAGUGUCCCCCGUCUUCCAUGGACAGUUGGGACAGCCUCACCACAAACAAGCUGCUCUGUGGGAAGUCUGCUAGAGCUGCACGGCCACGGUAGUCACGGUGGGUGUAGUGGUUGGUGGACACGAUAGUGUGGCAGGUCCACAUUGGAGGCCCCACGCGGCACCAGUACUUCCUCUGGUGCCUGUUGAUGGACAGGGGGGCGUAAUGGCACUGGAUGGUCACAGCUCCUCCAAGCUCUCCAGACACCAGCCUUGGGCUGUUCAGUGUACUUGCAGCUGCAAAUGGAGAGAACAGCUGACGGCGACAGAGGGGUGGGUGUCCUCACCAUUGGGGAGUUACAAGGCAAACUCUGCUAGCUCUAAGGGUCAGGACAGAAGACAGGACUGUGAAAGUGGAGUAGAAUUAACAUAGAAAUGGCAGAGCUGAGGCGUGGAGGAAGCAGGAGCUGCCCCAAGAUACGGACUGGAGCAGGGUGCAAGGCUCCAUGUACAACAUGAAAACGCAGUGAGAAUCUUGCCCACUUUUUUCCCCCAGCACUGAGAUUGAACCCAGGGCCCUGCGUCAAGAGCACUCUCCCACUCUACACCCUCCCCCAUUUCGCUGAAGCAUAAUUUUGAGUGGGGUUUUCCUAACACAAAGUUUGUUUUUGCUCACAAACCCGUGAUCCUCUAGCCUCAGCUUCUCGAUUAGCUGGGCUUUCCGGUGUGUGCCACCACCCCUCAUCCCCACACACUACAUUGCUAAUACUUAUCGUGUGCAGAUCAUGGGUUGAUCCCACUGUGCGUCAGUGCAGAUGCCAUCGUCGCUCCCAUGAGAGGGCGGAAGCAACCUCUGGUUUGCAUGGCAUUUAAAAGACAGAUGCUGAGCGAGGUGAACAUGUCAGUGUGCUUUUCCUCCGAACCAAAGAAUCCUGCUCUGCCUGCCUGAUCUAGGAUGUAUAUACCCCUAGACCAGUAGCUGCAAAGUUUUUCACACUGACCACUUUUCUAGAGACAUGGAAACAACCGAGGCAGAUGGACACCUGCUUUGGCAACAGCCCCAAAGACAACUCACACUGGAGCCGCAGAGCGUGGUCAGCUUACAGAAUGACUGCAGUCUGCUAUAGUGCAAACCGAAAAAAGCUCAUUCUCUUUCCCACUGCCUCUUCACAACUUUGUCUGCUCCUCGGAGAAAUCACAGGUGCAGUCUCAUGUCUAGUAGCUUUUACUGUCUGUCCUAGAUAGGAAAGUCCAGUCUAGUAUAAAAUUAUACACCUGGCUCAGUCAGAGGAGAGUGCACUGCAGUCGCUCACUCAGUGGGGCCUUUCUUCUUUUGGCGGCCACCUGGGGAAGGAGUGGCAGGUUGGGUCCUGUGCUGUACUUUCCCCUCCUCUACUCAAAGCUGCAGUUUGGGGCCCCUCCAGGACCGGGCACGGAGAAGAGCAAGGAGGUAAAUAGAUAGUUAUAAUCUGCCCUUGGUGUUCUCUGGCAUGGCCAAGAUGUCCUCUUUCUGGGCCCCAAAGGCUUUCUUGGUGGCUUCUAGCCCACUGGCCCUCUGUUAGUGGUCACGAUCCCCUCUGGGUGCCCAUGAGGUGGAGGCCCCACAUGUGGCCACAGGUGCCACACCCUUAUCCUGCUAUUAGAAGAAACCUGGGACACAUGACAAACUUGGGUGGUUCUCUAGAAGCUCCUUCUCUUAUUUGGCCUAAUGUGAGAGGGAGUGAUCCCUCUGGGCCCCAGGGCAGGAGGAAGGGGACCGAACAGCUGAUAGCUCCCCCUCCAGUGGUCUCAUGGGAGCUCUCUGCCUCUAAGGAGCCAUAUGUAAUGGCCCAGGUGGCUGCACGAUGGGCCAGCACUGGGACUAGCUUUACAGUCUCAGUCUGCAGUCCUACAAAUUGGUUCCCCAUCUUGCUUUAGGGUGUGGGUGCCUCAUGAUUGGCUCUUGGCCCCUAGCUCUCUGUACCCAAGAAUGUUCUGUUUAACACCGCAUUGCUGGGCUGCUAAUUUGUGAGUCUCGGUGCAAGAUCUGCAAAUGACAAGUACAAGUGAAAAUGGGAGACUCCUUGUCCAAAGUUUCUGAAGAAUUUUAUGCAGCCUCACCAGAGAAUGAGUCAAGCACUGUUGGAGAGCAGCACCUUGUGUGAUCUGUGCAUUCUGUGUGUCCUGAGGUCUAAUGACAGGAAAAUUAAGGUCGGGCAUGCUAUGGGUGUAUGCAUGCUCACUCUAGAUUUAAUUAAACAGCAUCCCCCAAUCCACGCAACUGAUAAUCAAGUUGAACAGUGAUGUAUUAAUAAAGGGUAAGAAUGUUUACUAUCACAAUGGGCCAUCUGAAGGCAGCAGCGGUGACGCCCCAAUAAAAUGCUUAUAGCCAGGUUUUAGGAGUCCCUGCGCUGUACAUAUGUCACAUGUCAGAUGAGUACAGAUUCAUUGAUCUCCAGCACUAGGCAGUCUGACUUCACAGUAGAAAGAUGGCUAAGAAUUCUUCUUGCAAUGCAUAUCAUUUUUAUUAACAUCAAAGUUAAC